rnacentral:rRNA from 1 species
GUCCAGACUCCUACGGGAGGCAGCAGUGGGGAAUAUUGGACAAUGGGGGGAACCCUGAUCCAGCGACGCCGCGUGAGUGAAGAAGUAUUUCGGUAUGUAAAACUCUAUCAGCAGGGAAGAAAGAAAUGACGGUACCUGACUAAGAAGCCCCGGCUAACUACGUGCCAGCAGCCGCGGUAAUACGUAGGGAGCAAGCGUUGUCCGGAUUUACUGGGUGUAAAGGGUGCGUAGGCGGCUUUGCAAGUCAGAAGUGAAAUCCAUGGGCUUAACCCAUGAACUGCUUUUGAAACUGCAGAGCUUGAGUGGAGUAGAGGUAGGCGGAAUUCCCGGUGUAGCGGUGAAAUGCGUAGAGAUCGGGAGGAACACCAGUGGCGAAGGCGGCCUACUGGGCUCUAACUGACGCUGAGGCACGAAAGCGUGGGUAGCAAACAGGAUUAGAUACCCGAGUAAA